UACGUAGGGGGCUAGCGUUGUCCGGAAUCAUUGGGCGUAAAGCGCGUGUAGGCGGUUCGGUAAGUCCGCUGUGAAAGUCGGGGGCUCAACCCUCGGAUGCCGGUGGAUACUGUCGGACUAGAGUACGGAAGAGGCGAGUGGAAUUCCUGGUGUAGCGGUGAAGUGCGCAGAUAUCAGGAGGAACACCGAUUGCGAAGGCAGCUCGCUGGGACGUUACUGACGCUGAGACGCGAAAGCGUGGGGAGCAAACAGG
rnacentral:rRNA from 1 species